GUCUGAGCUGUCAACUGAACUGAGGGAGGUAUCAUAAAAAUGUAUGGGCCAAGUAUUCCACUACGCAGAGGAAGGAAGGGCCUCACCUUCCCUUACCCACCUCUAAGUGAAUAGAAUGGAUGUCUAGUCAUGCUCAUUUUAGCCUUCAAAAUGGCAUCAGUCUGUGUAUAGUGAAGUGUAGGGAGCCAGGGGGGUUGGGGACAGCCCUGUUGAAUUGAUCAGACCCACCUGAGGAAGAGCCAGGCUAGACCAGAAAGUUCACUACAAGGUGUGACAUGCCGCCUUCACCUCUAACCUGACCCAGAAGAGGAGUCAUCAGAGUUUGCCCCAUUUGGUUUCCCAAAGGUGCUGAACAUAUGGCCACACUCUUGGUGUGUUGACUGAAGCUUUACAUGGCUGGAAAACACCAGCAUAUGUUUUGUAACACAAAUGCUAGUCCUAUUAAUGAUAGUGGUGGAUUUGAAAAAGGGUCAUGAUGCUACUAAUGGUUUUCAUUAACACAUAGCAGAUAAUUGUAUAUUCCUAGCUAGCUUCAAAUGUGCAUCACCUGCACAUAAAUAAACUAUACAUACCAAAUUCCUGGCAUUGCGUUUAUACAUUAGAGGCAAACAGAGCAAAGUUUUCUACAUGUAGUUAAAUUACUUUUUCUCAACAAUGCUAGCUGAAUUUCUAGAAUAAUAAGGAGAAAUCUCAAAAGAUAGCCUGUGGUCUAAGAACUGCAUCUCCUGAGCCAUCAUGCUCAGUAACUCUAAAAGGAUUGGAAGUAGCCAUGGUACUGUUUUCGACCCCUCUCUCAAUUUUUAAAUACAUUCUAGGAUAUGUGCUUAUUAAUGAGUGUAGGCUUGCUCUUUUAUUUUCAUAUGUUUAAUUUGUUUCUCAUUGCAUACUGUGUUUCUGUUGUUUUCUUUUGUAGUUCCUUUGAACAGUGUUUAUAUGUGU